GUAACAAGGUUUCCGUAGGUGAACCUGCGGAAGGAUCAUUGAAUCUAUCAAUAACCACACCGUGCACCUUUCUGUCUGGCCCAUCAUUCUCUCCGGAGCUUGAUGCUUCCCGGGUGGCAUUAAGUUGCUGCUUGGGUUGGGUCCGGCUGUCCAUUUACUUGGGCAGUUGGGCUGGUCUUUACUAACCAACAACACCAAAUCAAACCUAAAGCCAAAGAUAUGUGCUCGGCCUGGCCGUCACAUCCUAACUGAGACAACUCUCAACAACGGAUAUCUUGGCUCUCGCAACGAUGAAGAACGCAGCGAAAUGCGAUACGUAGUGUGAAUUGCAGAAUUCCGUGAAUCAUCAAAUCUUUGAACGCAAAUUGCGCCCAAGGCUUCGGCUGAGGGCAUGUUUGCCUCAGCGUCGGGUUAAUCUCACUUCCUCUCUCCCACAGUGUGUGGAGUGCAAUUGGCAAGUGGACCUGGCUGUUCCAGAGCUCGGGUGCUUCAAUGCGCUCGUCAAGGGCGCUGGAUCAGCUGAAGAACAGAGGCUAGCUCAAGGACCCGUGAAGGGCCGCAACUGGGUAGGCAGCUCACGCUUGCUAUUUCUAGUUGUUGGCUUGGGACCAUGGGCUCGGCCCUCAAACAGGAACCCUCAAUUUUUUUCUCGACCUGAGCUCAAGCAAGACCACCCGCUGAACUUAAGCAUAUCAAUAAGCCGGA
rnacentral:rRNA from 1 species